UAGCAUAUAAGCAUACCAUACAUUGCUAGAGACCCACAAGAAAUCGAGCGCUCUCAUUGGCCGUAUUACAUUGUGAUAACAUUAUACAAUUAUCAAUAUUCAAUGUUUUGAAAUUAUAUGUUUUUUUUUGAAACUAUAUUAUUUACGGUAUUAUUUACAAAAAAAUAAAAAUAUGAUUUAUCCAGCAUCAUUUAAACAUGAAAUUGUCAAAGAAGACGAUGUUAAUAUUAUUUUAAGGUGUGACGCAAAAUCUAUUCAGGAUAUUAAUGUAUGGGUUGCUGAGUUAGGUAGACUUAAUUAUAUACAUUGGAACGUUCGUUCGACUAUUCCAAAUGGGCAGCGAAUUAAGUGUUCCAAAAAGUUUGUUUGUCAACACAGUGCUUUUCAGAAGCCUAGUGCAUUAGCAAACCAAAAAGGCUUGUCCAAAAAUGCAGAGUGUCCAGCAAGCUUAAAAGCUGUUAUUAAACUGGACACAGUAUCUACGAGGAAGAAAGAUCCAUUUAUUAAGGUAUUCACAUUAUACAAUUAAGCUUAUAAUUAAUGUUUUUGUUUUUUUUGUUUAGCUUGUGAAUUAGUGAAUUCUUCCAGAUCAUCUCUGGUGAUAUAUUAUCCUAUUAUUAUUUAAAAUUUAUUAUUUGUCAAUGGGUAAUAAUACAAAAAGUUAAGUCGUUGUAAAGUUAAGCCAUAACACUUGCAAGCUCUUAAAACAUAAACAAUUUAAAUUAUGUCUGACUAAUAAAAAUAAAUAGUUUUUUUUCACAGGUUCCUAAUAAGUGUUAUAUUUGUAAAAUAAAAAUUAAUUCUACAUUUUUACAGAUUGGUCAAUGGGUAAUAAUACAAAAGUUAAGUCGUUGUAAAAUUAAUCCAUAACACUUGUAUGAUUUUAAAGUAUAAACAAUUUAUAAAAUAAAUGUAUUAAAUAAUUA
rnacentral:misc_RNA from 1 species